rnacentral:snRNA from 1 species
AUUGAUUCUCGGCCUUUUGGCUAGGACCAGGUAUAGUACCUGUUCUUAUCAGUUUAAUAUCUGAUAUGUCUUCUAUCCGAGGAUACCAUAUCAUUCCAUAUACAAAAU